GAAGACUGCCUCGGAUAACGGGAGGAAGGUGGGGAUGACGUCAAGUCCGCAUGCUCCUUACGUCUAGGGCUACACACGUCCUACAAUGGGGUCGACAAUGGGAUGCAAUAUCGCAAGAUGGAGCCAAUCCCCAAACGGCCUCUCAGUUCGGAUUGUAGUCUGCAACUCGACUACAUGAAGUUGGAAUCGCUAGUAAUGGCAGAUCAGCAUGCUGCCGUGAAUACGUUCCCGGGUCCUU
rnacentral:rRNA from 1 species